GUGAAGUCCAAAAAUUCGUGUAUCAUCUUCGAAUGAGUCAUCUGGAGGAUACAAAUAUUUUUCAACGCGUAUUGAAAACGUUCCAAGGAAGGAAAUAUCAUCAAAUCAUCUAUCAUCUUUAAUCGAAGGACACAAGGUAGUGGCUGUUGCAUAGAAGAUCGGCAACGAUGAAACAGGAAUUACGAUGCAGCGUUGCAUACGCGUUCGCCCACCUUGAAAACAGAGAAGAAAGAGAGAACACCGACGCAUCACGUGCAUUCAUCGGCUCCUACGAAUUAAUCCUAUUAUAGCGGAAAGCCUCACCUUCGUCGGCCACAUCAUCAUUGGCGUCGCCGUCAUCUGACAUCGUCAUCGUAUUCCCUCGUCGAUCCCACACCGCGUGCGAAGGCGAGCCUUUUACGUAAUGGACCGGAGGUUCCGUUUGUUUAUGUAAUCAGAUCCCCCAGAAACUCGCGGAGAACGGUUCGACAAUUUUGCAAUGAAUUCACCGUUCAUUUCCUGUCCUUUAUUCACUCUCGAAAUUCAAGAGAUUAGAAA